CGGACGGGUGAGUAAUGUCUGGGAAACUGCCCGAUGGAGGGGGAUAACUACUGGAAACGGUAGCUAAUACCGCAUAACGUCGCAAGACCAAAGAGGGGGACCUUCGGGCCUCUUGCCAUCGGAUGUGCCCAGAUGGGAUUAGCUAGUAGGUGGGGUAACGGCUCACCUAGGUGACGAUCCCUAGCUGGUCUGAGAGGAUGACCAGCCACACUGGAACUGAGACACGGUCCAG
rnacentral:rRNA from 1 species